CACAAAGCCAUCCUUUGUCAGUGUCCCUUUUUCUGCUCUGGAAGGAGGAAGAGACCCCACGCUUGUGAACAAGUCCAGACGCGACUGAGAGCGACGUCAGGGUCACUGAGGGAACCCAGAACUCGACUCACCAAAACUGGUAGAUUUGGGACACACUCUUGCUGGGUUUGCAAGGAUAUUCAUCACCGUCGACAGACCGGAGUCAGUGAAUACCUGAUACACCACGUUAACCGAAUAAAGGACUAAUUAAGAGGUGCAGAAAAAGCAUCUGACAAGACUCAACAACCUCUCAUGAUAAAACCUCUCGACAAACUAGGUUUAGAAGGAUGUGCCUAAACGUAAUAAAGAUCAAAUAUGAGCCCACAGCUAA